rnacentral:rRNA from 1 species
AUACGUAGGUGGCAAGCGUUGUCCGGAUUUACUGGGCGUAAAGGAUGCGUAGGCGGAUUUUUAAGUGAGAUGUGAAAUACCCGGGCUUAACUUGGGUGCUGCAUUUCAAACUGGGAAUCUAGAUUGCGGGAGAGGAGAAUGGAAUUCCUAGUGUAGCGGUGAAAUGCGUAGAGAUUAGGAAGAACACCAGUGGCGAAGGCGAUUCUCUGGACCGUAACUGACGCUGAGGCAUGAAAGCGUGGGUAGCAAACAGGAUUAGAUACCCUGGUAGUCCACGCCGUAAACGAUGAGUACUAGGUGUAGGAGGUAUCGACCCCUUCUGUGCCGCAGUUAACACAAUAAGUACUCCGCCUGGGAAGUACGAUCGCAAGAUUAAA